UGAAUCACUUCAAGUUUCUUCAGGCUGCUGGAAAUAGAAGAGCAGAACUUCAACUAAAGUAUUGUCAUUGCAGUCCUGGCGGAGCUGGUAUUACUCGUCAAAUAAAUCCUGUUUUUUACUGUAUAACUGAGAAUUCAGGGUGGCUUUUCCUGAAGGAAGAGGAGAAAACAAAUGGAGUUGCAAUGAGACUUCUUUGGUCCGUGGUUUCCAGAAUAGCAACAUAUGCUUGAACGGCUUCAUUUCUAAGAGGAUGAUACUGCAGCUUAGAUUAUUACCACCAGGGCGCUGUAGUUCUAUCUUCAACAUACAGACUAACCCUACAAGAUCCUGGAUGUGGUAGACCUGGGCUUGGUGGGCAUCUCACAGCCUGCCUUACACAUUUUUAGCCCUUCGAACUUCAACCCUUCCAAAGAGGAUUGUAACUGGACAGAAUAUUUGGAGAAUCCUGGUGAGACUGUGCAAGGUCUGAAGCAGUAGCAACUCCAGCCAAGUGCUUGUCACCA